rnacentral:lncRNA from 10 species
CCUCCCAAGACUAAACCAGUAAGAAGUUGAAUCUCUGAAUAGACCCAUAACAGGCUCUGAAAUUGUGGCAAUAAUCAAUAGCUUACCAACCAAAAAGAGUCCAGGACCAGAUGGAUUCACAGCUGAAUUCUACCAGAGGUACAAGGAGGAACUGGUACCAUUCCUUAUGAUUUAUAUGAGCUUCUAUUUAACACAAUGCUAAUUAUUUUUAUAUUGUUUUCCAAAAUAAAAAAAUUUUUUUCUUUUAAACUAUGUAUGUCUUACAACAAAUGGAUAAAACACAAUUUUAUAAACAAAAUUAAAACAUUUACCUUUCUCUCUACCUAAAUUCUCUAGAAUUUUAAAACUAUUCAUCAACAGCUAACACCAAAAUAAUGGUUGCCCAACAACUAGAUAUGACUCGCAAUUCAAAAGAAAACACAGAGCCUCAAGUCAUGACCUGCCCCAUGUCACUAACAAUUUCACCUGCCUGCAAUAACAAAAUUAUUUAUCUCCUCAGCCUGGAAAGACAUGACUUCUUACAAAUGAGCCUUCCCAAUGGCGAAAGAUAAAUAACCCCUGUUACUCUAACCUGAACAGAGAUUGGUCAUCACUGCUUCCUUGAAAAGAUUCUCUAUCCAAAGAACUAAUAAUCUACAAGUCACCUUUGGCAGGCUUCCAAAGUAACCGUCCCAGGAAGAUCUUAUGAUUCGUCGUUUACCUCCUGUCCCUGAAUGAAAAAUAAUGCAUGGCAGAACCAGCCGUCCUGCACACCUACCCGUGGUGCUGAUAAAAUUUGGCCUGAUAGUCAAGCCAAGUGCUUACUCAGUGCCAUUUACCACAAUAAAGGUCAUGAAUCAUAGCCAGCCUCAAAUUUUAUCCUGAGUUCCUCAAACUGUCGACAUGCUUAAUAUGUAACCUACUGACAUUGAAAAAGACACAAAUUUGUUUCUAAAUCAUAAAGUUGUACAGAUUGUUUUACAUAUAUUAAUGUUCUAGCCUAUAUGUUGUCAUUUGUAGCCAAUAAUUAUAAUCUCUAUAUUAUACCCUGCAAUGAAAAAGACAACUCCAGCUAGGCACAGUGGCUCAUGCCUGUAAUCCCAGCAUUUUGGGAGGCUGAGGUGGGAGGAUUGCUUGAGCCCAGGAGUUUGAGACCAGCCUGAGAAACAAAAGGAGAUCCUGUCUCUACAAAAAAAAAUAAUUAACCUUGCUUGGUGGUGCACACCUGUGGUCCUAGCUACUUGGGAGGCUGAGGCAAGAGGAUCGCUUGAGCCCAGGAGGUUGAGGCUUCAGUGAGCUGUGAUUGUGCCAUUGCACUCCAGCCUGGGUGACAGAGUGAGACCCUGUCUCAAAACAAGAAAGAAAGAAAGAAAGAAAAAGAGAGAGAGAAAGGAAGAAAGGAAGGAAAGAAGGAAGGGAAAGAAAAACAUACAACUCCUGUUUGAGUUCCCCUCCCUUCUCCUAAACCUUCUCACAAAAACAUUCCAAUUUAUAAAAGGCUUUAAAGCAUGCUCAAUUUCAUUACUGUGUCUUCCUCAAUCAAUCCUCACAUUUGACUUCCAAUAAACCUUUAUUGAAUUAUUUCUGCCUCAAAGCCUUAAUUUCAGUCAACACUGCCAACCUGGUGUUCCUGUCUGAUGGAGGAAGCCAACAGAUCAUAAGACCAAAUCCAAUGGUGACGGUGAUGAAAGAAAUUACAAGAGUGAGAUGAGAUAGAAAGGGACCAAGGGGGCCGUUCUGGACACGGUGAUCAGGCAGGGGACCCCCAGGAGGGACCAAGGGGGCUGUUCUGGACACGGUGAUCAGGCAGGGGGCCCCCAGGAGGUGACCUUCGAGCAGAAACCUGAGUGAUGUGGAAGAGUCACCUGUGGAUAAGAACCAGCCCAUGAAAUCAUGCCAGGUGUGUAAAGACCCAGCAGCGGGAGGAGUAAAUGAGUGGCCAAAAAAGUUUGUCCAUUCUUGCAUCCUUCUUUAGUUGUACCAAGAUAAACAGAAACUUCAGCAAUUUCCCUUGGGGUGCAUGGGGUAAACAGGAACGAGUCGUCCUGCAAACUUGCCCGUGGUGCUGAUAAAAUUUGGCCUGAUAGUCAAGCCAAAGUGCUUCCUGAGUGCCAUUUACCACAAUAAAGGUCAUGAAUCAUAGCCAGCCCCCCAUGAGGGGCUCACUCACCAAAGAAGGAAGUUUCCACAUCUUGAUGAUUUCAUCCUCCUUUCUUCAACCAAUCAGUGACCCCCAUUUUCUAAUCCCUCAUCCUCCAUGGAGUCCUUAAAAACUCCAGCCCAGAACUCCUGGGGGAGAUGUAUUUGAGAGUUCCUUCCGUCUCCCAGCUCGGCCACCCUGUGAUCAUUAAACUUUUUCUCUGCUGCAAAC